GACGAACGCUGGCGGCGCGCCUAACACAUGCAAGUCGAACGAGCGAGAGAGAGCUUGCUUUCUCGAGCGAGUGGCGAACGGGUGAGUAACGCGUGAGGAACCUGCCUCAAAGAGGGGGACAACAGUUGGAAACGACUGCUAAUACCGCAUAAGCCCACGGGUCGGCAUCGACCAGAGGGAAAAGGAGCCAUCCGCUUUGAGAUGGGCGCGCGUCCGAUUAGCUAGUUGGUGAGGUAACGGCCCACCAAGGCAACGAUCGGUAGCCGGACUGAGAGGUUGAACGGCCACAUUGGGACUGAGACACGGCCCAGACUCCUACGGGAGGCAGCAGUGGGGAAUAUUGCACAAUGGGGGAAAGCCUGAUGCAGCGACGCCGCGUGGAGGAAGAAGGUCUUAGGAUUGUAAACUCCUGUUGUUGGGGAAGAUAAUGACGGUACCCAACAAGGAAGCGACGGCUAACUACGUG
rnacentral:rRNA from 1 species